rnacentral:rRNA from 1 species
AUUGAACGCUGGCGGCAUGCUUUACACAUGCAAGUCGAACGGUAACAGGUUAAGCUGACGAGUGGCGAACGGGUGAGUAAUGCAUCGGAACGUGCCCAGUCGUGGGGGAUAACGCAGCGAAAGCUGUGCUAAUACCGCAUACGAUCUAUGGAUGAAAGCGGGGGACCGUAAGGCCUCGCGCGAUUGGAGCGGCCGAUGUCAGAUUAGCUAGUUGGUGGGGUAAGAGCUUACCAAGGCGACGAUCAGUAUCUGGUUUGAGAGGACGAUCAGACACACUGGAACUGAGACACGGUCCAGACUCCUACGGGAGGCAGCAGUGGGGAAUUUUCCGCAAUGGGCGAAAGCCUGACGGAGCAAUACCGCGUGAGGGAAGAAUGCCUAUGGGUUGUAAACCUCUUUUUCAGGGAGGAAUAAAAUGACGUGUACCUGAAGAAUAAGCAUCGGCUAACUCCGUG